AUGAAUGGGAAUACUGUACAGUGGCGUUUAACAUGCUUUUAUGGGCACCCCAACUGGAGUGACCGUGCUUUGUCAUGGGAUGAUAUUCAAAAUUUGUAUGAGAAGGGUGAUCACCCAUGGGUAUUUUUAGGAGAUUUUAAUGAAAUUUUGUUAUCAUCGGAGAAAGAGGGAGGGAAUGUGAGACCAAAUGUGAUGAUGAGAGAUUUUCGUAAUUGUUUGGGAGAUUGUGGACUAGCAGAUAUGGGAUGUAUGGGUGACUUAUUUACAUGAAGGAGGGGCGAAAUCAGGGAAAGACUAGAUUGAGCGGUUUGUAAUGUGGAUUGGGCGAAUAAAUUCCCUCGAGCGGCGGUUAUUAACGAAGAACAUGUACACUCAGACCAUCGCCCUAUUGUUUUAGACACGGAAUAUUUUGAUGAUAAUAUUUUUGACCGCUCAAAAAGUCGAAGGAAACAUUUUGAAGCUCGAUGGCUGAAAGAAGAGACGGUUACAGAAGUUGUAUGUGCAGCUUGGGAAAAAGCGAAGAUGUUGGGCAUAGGGCCGUCUCUCGCUGAUCGCACAAGAGUGGUACAUGCAGAUUUGCACUCUUGGGAUCGUGAUAUCCUUAAGGGUUCGAAAAAAAGAAUCAACAAACUAAAAAAAUAUUUAGAAAAAUUACGGAGAGGGCCUGUGAAUGCUACCUCUCUUGCACGUCAAAAGGAGACUAUUGUAUUGAUUGAAAAUUUAUUGGAACAAGAGGAGAUACACUGGCUACAACGGGGUCGAGCAAACUAG
rnacentral:rRNA from 1 species